rnacentral:snRNA from 12 species
AUGCCUUAAACUGAUGAGUAAGGAAAAUAACGACGCGGGGUGACGCCCGUGUUCUCGCAGACUCUCGCGAGGAGAAUUUUUGUAAGGGCACAGGUCCGUCUGCGAGGUGACUCACCUACUUAGUGAGAUGCCCAGCAGAGCCAGGGUCUGCCNN